rnacentral:tRNA from 2 species
GCCCCGGUAGCUCAGUGGUGGAGCAAUCGGCUGUUAACCGAUAGGUCGUCAGUUCGAAUCUGACCUGGGGCG